GACGAACCGUCCAAACGUUGUUCGGAAUCACUGGGCUUAAAGGGCGCGUAGGCGGCUUCAUAAGUCUUGGGUGAAAGCCCUCGGCUCAACCGAGGAAUUGCCUUGGAUACUGUGAAGCUCGAGGCUGGAAGAGGACAGUGGAAUUCCCGGUGUAGCGGUAGAAAUGCGUAGAUAUCAGGAGGAACACCGAUGGCGAAGGCAGCUCGCUGGGACGUUACUGACACUGAGGCGCGGAAAGCGUGGGGAGGCGAACAGG
rnacentral:rRNA from 1 species